rnacentral:rRNA from 1 species
UACGUAGGGUGCAAGCGUUAAUCGGAAUUACUGGGCGUAAAGGGCGCGUAGGCGGCCUGUUAAGUCGAACGUGAAAUCCUCGGGCUCAACCCGGGAACUGCGUCCGAUACUGGCAGGCUUGAAUUCGGGAGAGGGAUGCGGAAUUCCAGGUGUAGCGGUGAAAUGCGUAGAUAUCUGGAGGAACACCGGUGGCGAAGGCGGCAUCCUGGACCGAGAUUGACGCUGAGGCGCGAAAGCCACGGGAGCAAACGGG